GACGAACGCUGGCGGCGUGCUUAACACAUGCAAGUCGAACGGAAAGGCCCUGCUUUUGUGGGGUGCUCGAGUGGCGAACGGGUGAGUAACACGUGAGUAACCUGCCCUUGACUUUGGGAUAACUUCAGGAAACUGGGGCUAAUACCGGAUAGGAGCUCCUGCUGCAUGGUGGGGGUUGGAAAGUUUCGGCGGUUGGGGAUGGACUCGCGGCUUAUCAGCUUGUUGGUGGGGUAGCGGCUUACCAAGGCUUUGACGGGUAGCCGGCCUGAGAGGGUGACCGGCCACAUUGGGACUGAGAUACGGCCCAGACUCCACGGGAGGCAGCAGUGGGGAAUAUUGCACAAUGGGCGGAAGCCUGAUGCAGCAACGCCGCGUGCGGGAUGACGGCCUUCGGGUUGUAAACCGCUUUCGCCUGUGACGAAGCGUGAGUGACGGUAAUGGGUAAAGAAGCACCGGCUAACUACGUG
rnacentral:rRNA from 1 species